UGCAUUUGUUGAUGCCGUAAAGCAAUCCGUCCUAUUUGAGUUUCUGCUCACCGAUCUCAGAGCACUGGAGUCCAGGGCCCUCAGGAGCCCUGCAGAAGAGCCAGACAGACAGACAGACGGAUAGAAAGAAACCUUCUGGAAAUCCCUCCUUCAUACAUUUAAAAGUACUCGCUGACAGACUUACCGAGCUCGACUUCCUCCUCGGCUCCAGAUGUUUAGGAUGGCCUCCUGUGAUACGACCUCGCCAGGUUUCAAUAUAAAGAACAGACUGACAAUGAAUGUUUACUGCAACAUUUACUCCCAAAAAUCAUGCUUGCCAUACCAGCCUGUAAACUGUAUAUAAUGCAUUUUAAAAGGAUUUUUGAUUGCAUUAAUUAUCAUUUCAUGAAUAACCACAACCACAGUUAUGAUACUUCAUUGGUGCACCUUUAGAAAGAACAAUGUGUCCAUUAAAAAUGGCAGACAAACAAUUUCAGAUAAGGAACCUACAAGUACUACAAUGCAUUUUAACUUAAGUUACAAUUAUUUACAAAAAUAUAUAAUGCAUUACGAUAAAUUUUAUGAAUAUGUUUUUAAUGUAUUACACAGCAUUCAAAUGUUCUUGAAUAAUGCAGUACUACACAGUACUAAACAAGUUAUUUUUACUUGCUGCUAACAGUAUCCAAGACUGUUUAUGCUCAGUGUAAAUUGCA